GUGAGGAAUUUUGCGCAAUGGGGGCAACCCUGACGCAGCGACGCCGCGUGGAGGACGAAGUCUUUCGGGAUGUAAACUCCUGUCAGUGGGGACGAUAAUGACGGUACCCACAGAGGAAGCACCGGCUAACUCCGUGCCAGCAGCCGCGGUAAGACGGAGGGUGCAAGCGUUGUUCGGAAUUACUGGGCGUAAAGCGUAUGUAGGCGGCAAGUUAAGUUCAAUGUUAAAGCCCACGGCUCAACCGAGGAGAUGCAUUGAAUACUGGCUAGCUAGAGGGUGUUAGAGGAAGACGGAAUUCCCAGUGUAGCGGUGAAAUGCGUAGAUAUUGGGAGGAACAUCGGUAGCGAAAGCGGUCUUCUGGGACAUACCUGACGCUGAGGUACGAAAGCGUGGGGAGCAAACGGGAUUAGAUACCCUGUAGUCC
rnacentral:rRNA from 1 species